rnacentral:lncRNA from 1 species
CUCGGGCCCGGCGCGCUGCAGCACGUCCCGGAGCCUGGCCUCCGACAGCUCCACGUGGCCGCGCAGGUCCUUCAGGAACAUGCGGCCGCCGUGGGCGCACAGCACCUUGAAACGGGGUCUCCUCAUGUUGCCCAGGCUGGUCUCGAACUCCUCAAGCGAUCCACCUGCCUCAGCCUCCCAGAGCACUGGAAUUACAGGCGUGAGCCACCCCGCGGGGCCUGCUGAGCUUUAUUGGAAAGUGGCUAGUCCGAAUUGAGAUGUGAUAUAAGUGUGAAAUACACACACUAGAUUUUGAGGACUGAGAAUGAGAAAAAGAAUGUAAAAUAUCUCACUAACUUUAUAUGAAUCACAUGUUAAACAUAAUAUUUUGGAUAUAUUUGGAUAAAUAAAAUGUUAUGACAACUUCA